rnacentral:rRNA from 1 species
UACGUAGGGGGCAAGCGUUGUCCGGAUUUAUUGGGCGUAAAGAGCGUGUAGGCGGCUAGAUAGGUCCGUUGUGAAAACUCGAGGCUCAACCUCGAGACGUCGAUGGAAACCAUCUGGCUAGAGUCCGGGAGAGGUGAGUGGAACUCCGAGUGUAGAGGUGAAAUUCGUAGAUAUUCGGAAGAACACCAGUGGCGAAGGCGGCUCUCUGGGACGGUACUGGACGCUGAGACGACGAAAGCGGUGGGGAGCGAACAGGG